rnacentral:rRNA from 1 species
AACGCGAAGAACCUUACCUGGUCUUGACAUGUCGCGAAUCCUGCAGAGAUGCGGGAGUGCCUUCGGGAAUGCGAACACAGGUGCUGCAUGGCUGUCGUCAGCUCGUGUCGUGAGAUGUUGGGUUAAGUCCCGCAACGAGCGCAACCCUUGUCCUUAGUUGCCAGCACGUAAAGGUGGGAACUCUAAGGAGACUGCCGGUGACAAACCGGAAGAAGGGGGGGAUGACGUCAAGUCAUCAUGGCCCUUACCACCAGGGCUACCCACGUACUACAAUGGGAGGUACAGAGGGAAGCCAAGCCGCGAGGGGGAACCAAUCCCCAUAAAACCUCUCUCAGUCCGGAUCGCAGUCUGCAACUCGACUGCGUGAAGUCGGAAUCGCUAGUAAUCGCGAAUCAGCAUUGUCGCGGUGAAUACGUUCCCGGGUCUUGUACACACCG